CACAUGCAGUCGAGGGGCAGCGGAGAGGUAGCAAUACCUUUGCCGGCGACCGGCGCACGGGUGAGUAACACGUAUGCAAUCCACCUGUAACAGGGGGAUAACCCGGAGAAAUCCGGACUAAUACCCCAUAAUAUGGGCGCUCCGCAUGGAGAGCCCAUUAAAGAGAGCAAUUUUGGUUACAGACGAGCAUGCGCUCCAUUAGCCAGUUGGCGGGGUAACGGCCCACCAAGGCGACGAUGGAUAGGGGUUCUGAGAGGAAGGUCCCCCACAUUGGAACUGAGACACGGUCCAAACUCCUACGGGAGGCAGCAGUGAGGAAUAUUGGUCAAUGGUCGGCAGACUGAACCAGCCAAGUCGCGUGAGGGAAGACGGCCCUACGGGUUGUAAACCUCUUUUGUCGGAGAGUAAAGUACGCUACGCGUAGCGUAUUGCAAGUAUCCGAAGAAAAAGCAUCGGCUAACUCCGUGCCAGCAGCCGCGGUAAUACGGAGGAUGCGAGCGUUAUCCGGAUUUAUUGGGUUUAAAGGGUGCGUAGGCGGCACGCCAAGUCAGCGGUGAAAUUUCCGGGCUCAACCCGGAGUGUGCCGUUGAAACUGGCGAGCUAGAGUGCACAAGAGGCAGGCGGAAUGCGUGGUGUAGCGGUGAAAUGCAUAGAUAUCACGCAGAACCCCGAUUGCGAAGGCAGCCUGCUAGGGUGCGAC
rnacentral:rRNA from 1 species